rnacentral:rRNA from 1 species
UUCGCAAUGCCCGAAAGGGUGACGAAGCGACGCCGCGUGCGGGAAGAAGGCCUUCGGGUUGUGAACCGCUGUCGGGAGUUAGGAAAUGCAAGGAUGUUAAUAGCGUCCUUGCUUGACUAAGGCUCCGGAGGAAGCCACGGCUAACUCUGUGCCAGCAGCCGCGGUAAUACAGAGGCGGCAAGCGUUGUUCGGAAUUAUUGGGCGUAAAGAGCACGUAGGCGGCCGUGUAAGUCGGUUGUGAAAGCCUUCCGCUCAACGGGAGAACGGCAUCCGAUACUGCAUGGCUCGAGUGCGGGAGGGGAGAGUGGAACUUCUGGUGGAGCGGUGAAAUGCGUAGAUAUCAGAAGGAACACCGGCGGCGAAGGCGACUCUCUGGCCCGUAACUGACGCUGAGUGUGCGAAAGCUAGGGGAGCAAACGGGAUUAGAUACCCCGGUAGUCCUAGCCGUAAACGAUGGGCACUAAGUAGAGGGGUUUU